rfam:Treponema sp. GWC1_61_84 gwc1_scaffold_48, whole genome shotgun sequence.
CUAUCCACGUCGAGAGGCGGGGAGACGGCCAUUCAGAAGUCAGCAGACGCCAUAAUAGCGCGAACGACCGGACGUGAAGGGC